UCCAGAGUCUGCCCCUAGAACUAGUUGGUCCCAAGACGAAAAGCAAAAAUGAUCCCCUGUCAGCGCAUUGAGCACGAUGUCUCUUCGACAGGAAGGCACUCCUUGUUUUUCGUGUCCUGAUCAGGGGGUAGAAUGAUGGCGCUCAGCACUAGCCCUGGAAAGACAUCUCCACCCACACACAAACACUGAGAGAAGCAGAGGGAUGUGAGUUGUUCGCAUGCACACCCAGAGAGAGAACAUGAGCCUACAACAAGUGCAGCUGAAAAUUCACUCAUCAAAACCACUGCUACAGUUGCUGGCGAUCAUGGCAAUGCAGUGGCUAGCCCAGAGUUUGGCUAGCCUAGUCUCUGUCAACGGUGAAGCCAGCAGAGCCCCCGUCCCAGUACCACCACAAGCCUCCUUGCCGCCACCCAGCUAAGCAGCAGCUGCUAACAAUGCUAAAUCACACGGGCCAGAGCCACUUACAUGCAGAGGAGCAACCCCAGAUGACCUUGGGGUUGAGAAGUUAGGUAAGUUUCCAGUAAGAUUGUAUUCAGGGAUAGAAGCUGUCUUCUGGUAAGAAUUCAGUACAAACUGUUGCAGCCUUUUGUUUCCCCCUGAUGAAAUUUCGGUCCAGCGCGUCAUCAGAUUCAACCUUUACCAUUAAAGGGUUCUGUGAUUGGAAGCAUGCUUUAGAGAGAGAUAAAGGACAGAACGAACAUGCCACCUCGGAAGAACACUUAACGUGAGGCUGUGGAGGGAGAGAAAUGCGUAAAGAGACAGGGCAGGAAAUAUCAACACUGGUUAACACGGAUCUGCUUGCACGUCAUCGAUAUUAUCUGGGCUCCAUUGUUGACAUUAUUGCAUUUCUAGCAGUUAAUCAAAUCACUCUGAGAAGAGAUCACGAUGCAUUAAAAAGCAUGACAGAGGAAGGCAGUGGGUGGUUCUUGUCAUUGUUUGAGUAUACCCUCCAAAAGGACCAAGAGUUGGCCAAGAUAGCACCAACCCUCCCAAGUGGUGCAGUGCUCUAAGGCACUGCAUCUCAGUUGCUAGCUAUGCCACUAGAGGUCCUGGUUUGAGUCCAGGCUCUGUCGCAGCUGGCCUUGACCCGGGAGACCCAUGGGGCGGCACACAAUUGGCCGGGUAAGGGCAGGGUUUGGCGGCAGGGAUGUCCUUGUCCCAUCACGCUCUAGCGACUCCUGUGAUGGGCCGGACGCAUGCACGCUGACACGGUCGCCAGGUGUUUCCUCCAUGUUAAGCUGGCAUUGUGUCAAGAAGCAGUGCGACUUGGUUGGGUCGUGUUUCGGAGGACUCAUGGCUCUCAACCUUCGCCUCUCGCGAGUCCGUAUAGGAGUUGCAGCGAUGAGACAGGACUGUAACUACCAAUUGGAAACCACAAAAUUGGGGAGAAGAAGGGGUAAAAGUUUUUUUUUUAAACAAGGUAGCACCAACCAUUCUCCAUAAUGCAACCUACACGAGCCACGGCGCCCAGAACGACUUAAUAAAACAAAUGAGCAACUUAGUAACAGAGCAUAUUGUCAGGGAACUAGACAGAACGAGGGACACAACGGGCUAUGAAAACUUUUCAAUCGUACUUUGGUUUGUAGGUGGAAACUAUGAAAUAAAAGAGCCUUCUGACCAUAGCCACUGCAGAUGCAGGUGAUGCCAACACUCUCACAGAAACUGUUACCUCAGAAAUGACCAAGGCUGGACUGAGAACUGACAAAAUCCUCCGUCAAGUCUACAACAGAGCCUCUGUGAUGUCGGGGAAGCAAGGGGGAGUGCAGAAACUUCUACAGGAGAAAUUGGGUUGAGACAUACCGUAUGUUCAUUGCUUUAACCACCAUUUUCAUCUGGUGGUGGUCCAUGCCAUGUCCUCUGAGGAGGACAUCAGAGAUUUUUUAAAACAUUUGUAACCUUUACAAAUACUUAAAGCCCACUGUUGGAGUUCAUUACAAGGGGGAAACACAAAUGCCUGCUGAACCAGCCACUGUACAAGUUAUCCUUAAGUCCUCCAAGGAUAUAUCCCAAUUCUCUGCCUCUAACCCUAUUACAGGGGCUAAGUCACUGGCUUACUGGGGCUCUCUCAUGCCGUCCCUGGAGGGGGUGCGUCACCUGAGUGGGUUGAUUCACUGUUGUGGUCAUCCUGUCUGGGUUGGCGGCCCCCCCCUUGGGUUGUGCCGUGGCGGAGAUCUUUGUGGGCUAUACUCAGCCUUGUCUCAGGAUGGUAAGUUGGUGGUUGAAGAUAUCCCUCUAGUGGUGUGGGGGCUGUGCUUUGGCAAAGUGAGUGGGGUUAUAUCCUUCCUGUUUGGCCCUGUCCGGGGGUGUCCUCGGAUGGGGCCACAGUGUCUCCUGACCCCUCCUGUCUCAGCCUCCAGUAUUUAUGCUGCAGUAGUUUAUGUGUCGGGGGGCUAGGGUCAGUUUGUUAUAUCUGGAGUACUUCUCCUGUCCUAUUCGCUGUCCUGUGUGAAUCUAAGUGUGCGUUCUCUAAUUUUCUGCUUCUCUCUUUCUUUCUCUCUCUCGGAGAACCUGAGCCCUAGGACCAUGCCCCAGGACUACCUGACAUGAUGACUCCUUGCUGUCCCCAGUCCACCUAGCCAUGCUGCUGCUCCAGUUUCAACUGUUCUGCCUUACUAUUAUUCGACCAUGCUGGUCAUUUAUGAACAUUUGAACAUCUUGGCCAUGUUCUGUUAUAAUCUCCACCCGGCACAGCCAGAAGAGGACUGGCCACUCCACAUAUGCUCUCUCUA